UGCCAGACUCCUACGGGAGGCAGCAGUGGGGAAUAUUGCACAAUGGGGGGAACCCUGAUGCAGCGACGCCGCGUGGGUGAAGAAGCGCCUCGGCGCGUAAAGCCCUGUCGGCAGGGAAGAAAAUGACGGUACCUGAAGAAGAAGCCCCGGCUAACUACGUGCCAGCAGCCGCGGUAAUACGUAGGGGGCAAGCGUUAUCCGGAUUUACUGGGUGUAAAGGGGGCGCAGACGGCGAUGCAAGCCAGGAGUGAAAGCCCGGGGCCCAACCCCGGGACUGCUCUUGGAACUGCGUGGCUGGAGUACAGGAGGGGCAGGCGGAAUUCCUGGUGUAGCGGUGAAAUGCGUAGAUAUCAGGAGGAACACCGGUGGCGAAGGCGGCCUGCUGGACUGCAACUGACGUUGAGGCCCGAAAGCGUGGGGAGCAAACAGGAUUAGAUACCCCGGUA
rnacentral:rRNA from 1 species